rnacentral:lncRNA from 13 species
GCUGUUGUUACCUCUUCUCCCGGCGUCCCUGCCCGCGGAAGUUCGCUCUUAGGGAAGCCGCUCGCGUCCUCAGGAGCACUGGAGAGGAUCUCGGCGAAGCGGAAGGCUCUGGUGCCAGCUGGGAGAGUCGGCGCCGGAUUUCCUCAGCUCCUUGGCGCGUUUCCUCGGAGGCGGGGGAGGCCGAACACGGACCCCGAAGUCGGCGCCCAAAGCGGGGCGCCCUCGCUCGGGGCGGGAGUGCGGGGAGAGCCUAGAGCCUCUGCCCUUGACUGGUGCAUAGAGGACCACAGCUGCAAUGACAGUUUGGGCCUACCAAGAGAAGGCUGGAACAGGAGAGGGAAGCUUUCUGCAAAUGGUAAGUUGGGAAUGACACAUGGUUUCACGUUGGCCUUAGUUAUGACUAAACUUCUAAAGAUCCUGGGCCUAAAAAAGUGUAGGUUCAGGAUGGGGGAAGUGGGUACAAGGAAUGAAAGGACUCUCUCCCACUCAAAACUGGUGAGCUUCUACCAGAACCACAAAGCCAAACUGACUCCUAACUCAUUGCAAGAAUCAGUGUCUCAGUAGAGGAUUGUGGAAAUUUAAAUGAGAUGUCGGGAGUUUGCCAUUUUAGUAAUCAUUCUGCUGUUUUGAAAGACAGUGCAAGGAUUCUUGGGGUGAAAUAUGUGAUGGAGAUAUACAUGAUCUUCAGUAAGGGAAGAUUUGGGUUUAGUCAGGUUAGUGUGGGAUAAGCUAAGUCAUAACUGCCGUAUUGAAAAUACUAAUUUUAGACACAAAGAAAGACCAUGGAGAGAGGUUAAAAACCAUAAAAUAGUAAAGUUUCCCUAAGUUGGUAAUAGAAAAGUGAAGUGUAAGACAAUUAUUUUAAUGGUUCAAAGGAAAAACAGUCUGAGGUGAAUCAUUUUGGCCCAAGACAUCAAUAAUUUCCCACAUUUUCUAUUUCACUUUCCCCAAAUAGACCUGUUCUUAAUGAAAUAAGUGGUUUACUUUAGUUAUUAUAGUAUGAACAAACUCUCACCUCUUUUUCAGAGUUAUGGUAAGACUUGAUUUGAAUUUCCAGUUUGAAUUCCCCGAAUCAACUGCAGUGAUUCUGUAUUGUGCUUUGAACAAUGGUUCUCUAAUUGGUUGGUAAGGGACAUUUAGUUAAAGGGUUGUAUGGUUAAUAUGGACAUUCAAGAUGAGUGUGGGAGUAAUUAAUUAGCAAUUAUAGUUGUUUGUAAGGAUUGAAAACAAUCAUUUCACACUUUAGAAUAACCAGAAUGCAAAUUAUUUUAACCACAUGCUUGGCUUCUUGAGUUUGCAAUCCUUUAAUCUUCCUAGCAGCACCACUGGUAUCCAGAAGUUUAACCUGCCCAUGAUUCCUCCUAGACAGGAGACUAUCGAGAAGUCAGGGUGAGUAGUUUGCUGCCAUCUCAGUAUUAAUCCAGCCUCUCAGCUGGUUCUACUGACUUAGGUUCCUAAGAAACGAGGGGUGCCUUUCUAACUUGUGUCCAAUGUCAUUUUAUAACCUCCUUGUAAUCAAAUUCAUUAAUGACUAAAUUCCCAUUUAUCUAGCCCACAAUGAAUAUUUAUUCCUAUUACUCAACCUCUGCUUGGAACUUGACUAUAAGCUCUGGGAAUUAAGGUAACUCACAUUUGCUGCUAGAUCUCGCUGCUGUUGAUCUCCUGUCUGCCCUUGCUUUGUUGGAGACUCUGCUUUUGAAACUUUGACACCUGCAGAUGAGCCAUCUUUUGCUAUUUAUUUAUUCAAUCAUCAUUUCCCCAAGAUCUGACAGAGUCCAAUCUCCCAAAUUAGAACUACUUUCAAACUCACAUUUUUGGCUACCUUUAUGCCUUCUUGGCUUAGAUCGAAUACUCUGACACCCACAAUGGUCUAGGUUCCAGGCUUCUACAUGUUGGCUACUCCAUCCCCUGACUACCCCCGUUCUGACAAUCGCUAUGUGCCAUGUUUGUUUUUAAAGACUGUAUAACUAUGAGCUAGACAUUAAAGCACUUGAAAAGUCAAGAAUAUUUAAAAUAACUUCUUAUUAUAUAAGUGUAACUUGAUUAUAGAAGAUUCCUAUGUUUCAUUUUCAAUAAAAAGGUUUUUAGUGAUUCUUCA